rnacentral:rRNA from 1 species
GCUGGCGGCAGGCCUAACACAUGCAAGUCGAGCGGUAGCACAGAGAAGCUUGCUUCUUGGGUGACGAGCGGCGGACGGGUGAGUAACGCGUAGGAAUCUACCUAAUGGUGGGGGAUAGCCCAGGGAAACUUGGAUUAAUACCGCAUAAGUCCUAAGGGAGAAAGCGGGGGAUCUUCGGACCUCGUGCCAUUAGAUGAGCCUGCGUAAGAUUAGCUAGUUGGUGAGGUAAGAGCUCACCAAGGCGACGAUCUUUAGCUGGUCUGAGAGGAUGAUCAGCCACACUGGGACUGAGACACGGCCCAGACUCCUACGGGAGGCAGCAGUGGGGAAUAUUGGACAAUGGGGGCAACCCUGAUCCAGCCAUGCCGCGUGUGUGAAGAAGGCCUUCGGGUUGUAAAGCACUUUCAGCAGUGAGGAAAGGUUACAGAUUAAUACUCUGUAGCUGUGACGUUAACUGCAGAAGAAGGACCGGCUAACUCCGUGCCAGCAGCCGCGGUAAUACGGAGGGUCCGAGCGUUAAUCGGAAUUACUGGGCGUAAAGCGCGCGUAGGUGGUUUCGUCAGUCAGAUGUGAAAGCCCAGGGC